rnacentral:rRNA from 1 species
CUACGGGUUGCUGCAGUGGGGAAUUUUGCACAAUGGGGGAAACCCUGAUGCAGCGACGCCGCGUGCGGGAAGAAGGCCUUAGGGUUGUAAACCGCUUUCAAUUGUGAAGAAGGGAUGAGAGUUAAUAGCUUUCUGACUUGACGGUAGCAUUAGAAGAAGCACCGGCUAAUUUCGUGCCAGCAGCCGCGGUAAUACGAAAGGUGCAAGCGUUGUUCGGAUUUACUGGGCGUAAAGAGAUCGUAGGUGGUUUAUUAAGUCGGAUGUGAAAUCCCGGAGCUCAACUUCGGAACUGCAUUCGAUACUGGUAGGCUAGAGUUCGGGAGGGGAAAGCGGAAUUCCGUGUGUAGCAGUGAAAUGCGUAGAUAUACGGAGGAACACCUGAGGCGAAGGCGGCUUUCUGGACCGAUACUGACACUGAGGAUCGAAAGCGUGGGUAGCAAACAGGAUUAGAUACCCCUGUAGUC